rnacentral:lncRNA from 1 species
CUGAGAAACAACAGCUUGAACGGGCUACUGAUGCGAAGAGAGGCCACGGUUUCCUUUUUCUCUGCUUUGAAUGGAAGCCUUGACGUCACAACAGCUAGGAACCACUGGAGGGACAAAUAACAGGGCUCAAGCCCACAGCGCCCUGCUCUGUGGAAGGCCCAUUUUCCUCUCGUUCGGGUAUUUUCUGUGGCUGCAGAGAGUCAGCCCCAGCAGAGGUGAAUGUCUGGAGCUUAAAAAUAGAGGCAGCCUCUGUGCUGAUAAAACAGACCUGAGACCACACUCGUCAUCACCUUCAAGAAAUCUGGGUAAAGUAGAGCUCCUGCCUUAAGCUUAUUUCUAACAGAAUGGACUCCCCAGGGAAGGCCUGUGGUGAUUUUGCUCAGGGUUCAGACCUCUGCAUUUUCCCUGAAGAGCUGAGUUUCCUGAAUUUCAAAGCAGGCCUCUUCGAAGAGGGGCUGGCACAAAGGCCCUGAGAGAGGCAAGGAGCUCACGAGAGCAGGCAGACCGCUUCUGCAAGAGACUUACCUUAUUCUCUAGGACAGAAACAUCCUUUAGGGAUUUUAUAAUUUAAGUUCAAGCAAUGAAACAUGCACGUUUAGCACCCAACUGCAGGUGUUUGAACAAAUGGGUGAAAAAUGUUCAGAGGCUGGCAGGCUUAACUCACCAUUAUCUAGAAUGAGUUGUCUGUAUAAGUCAUCACAGCAGUUGGAAAAGCAUGAUCUUUCAUGUUUCAACCUUACAUCAAAAUUAUAAAUUAUAUUUAGCUACCUGAGUGCUGGCUCAUUUAUUUCCAUUAUAAACGCCAUGCUAACUAUAGACACACCGGGUGAUCAGCAGGCACGAUCUGAAAGCACUAUAAGCUCUUUCCUUUCUUCAUUAGAUGGACACUUCCAUAACUUCCCCGUGGUUACAUCUUGUUUCAAGGGAAUAAUCUGCUACAGAGAGGUACUCACUUCCAAAGAUAAAAGGGGGCAUAACUCUGAUCCAGACUCUCACUUACGACUCCCUACAACAGAAGACACUGCUUCUGCCUUCAGGGCGUCCUGGAUAUUUCUUGUGCUCCGUAGAGAUCGGAGGCCUGUUUUGGAAUCGGGUCUUUGGACUCAAAUAAUCUUACCUGGGGCAGAUGAUAAACUCUGUGUCUUGCUCCUGCUGUUUUAAAAAGGUUCAAGUGCUUUCGGUGAUUAAACAAUGGAGAAUAUGCAGCAAAAAUUAUUUUUUAACUGCAUUUUCUUUCAAAUGGCAGUUACGCUCAAGAGGUGAAACUUAUUCUAGCCCUACCCUUGUUUUUAUUUUAUAAGAGUUUUUAUAGUUUAAGAACUAUAAUUAAAUUUCUUCUGAACUGAUUUAUUAAAGUUUUCAAGAAGAGAAUGAUGGGAUUUCUUAAACUAUUAAGUUUCCAAAAGGAAGACAAAAUAUUUUUUAUUCUGAGAGAUGAGAGAUCGAGUGGGAAAAUUUUUUCCAUCUGUAUUUUGAUUAGAAUUUUUUAAUGUUCAAAUUCCUGGUUAUAAACCACAGUAAACAAUCAGUCAUUCAUUAAGAAGCGACUAUUGAAAAGGCGAUAUUUAAAAGAGAAAAAAUAAAACAUGAAGUGAUUAAAAUCCCA